AAUCAACGCUGGCGGCGUGCCUCAGACAUGCAAGUCGAACGCGAAAGUUCCCUUCGGGGGAUGAGUAGAGUGGCGCACGGGUGAGUAACACGUAGGUAAUCUACCUUCGGAUGGGGAAUAACAACCGGAAACGGUUGCUAAUACCGCAUAAUGCAGCGGCACCUAAUGGUGACAGUUGUUAAAGCGGGGGAUCGAAAGACCUCGCGUCUGAAGAGGAGCCUGCGGCGGAUUAGCAGUUGGUAGGGUAACGGCCUACCAAGGCUACGAUCCGUAGCCGGCCUGAGAGGGCGGUCGGCUACACUGACACUGACAUACGGGUCAGACUCCUACGGGAGGCAGCAGUCGGGAAUUUUGGGCAAUGGGCGAAAGCCUGACCCAGCAACGCCGCGUGAAGGAUGAAAUCCCUCGGGAUGUAAACUUCGC
rnacentral:rRNA from 1 species